UACAGAAGAUAGAAAACAAAAAUGAUAUCAAAAUUAUAACUGAACACUUUUUAGUGCAACUUACACAUGGUUUUCCCAGUAAGAAUAAAAAAAAAAAAGAGUGGCUGACAGUAGGGGAAUGGUGAAGGUAAAGUGAGUAUAUAUUAACCGCCAGAAGACAUGAAACAAAAAGCAUGGUCUCAAAAUUACAGCUGAACACUUAUCUCGCCCAAUUUAUACAUGGUUUCCCCAGUAACAAUAUAAAAUAAGUGCCCGAUGGAAAGAGAACGAUGAAGGAAAAGUGAGUAUUUAACCGUCAGAAUAAGAUAGAAACAGAAAAAACAGUAUCAAAAUGGAGAUCAAUCGGGUUCUAAUCAGUGUUUGCUUAGGUUCAUGGUACAGAAGGGUCAGACCACCACCAGGGCCACAAAACUACCCCUGGAAACGCCCAACAAUCUUAUAAAAGUCCUGUGAAAUAUGGAAGCUUGGGCGCCAAAAUGUCUAGGAAUACGCCCCGAAGGAAGAGAGCAUGAAACCAACAAAGACAGUGAUAAAUAACUUCCUAGACUGAUGAGAGCAAAUGAUAAGUUCCAUGGCUUCGGUUCGUGGUAAUGUCAGCGUAAGGAAUCAAGUAAGAAAAAUAUAUUGGCGUUUUUACAUCGGGAUAUUUCAAAACGGCGGAAAUUAAAAUCGGGUGUAAGGAAUCAGGUAAGAACUAUAUAUUGGCGUUUUUACAUCGGGAUAUUUCAAAACGGUGGAAAUUAAAAUCGGGUGUAAGGAAUCAGGUAAGAACUAUAUAUUGGCGUUUUUACAUCGGGAUAUUUCAAAACGGCGGAAAUUAAAAUCGGGUGUAAGGAAUCAGGUAAGAACUAUAUAUUGCCCUUUUUGUAUCGUGAUAUUUUAAAACCGCGGAAAUUAAAAUCGGGUGUAAGGAAUCAUGUAAGAACUAUAUAUUGGCCUUUUUGUAUCGUGAUAUUUCAAAACGGCGGAAAUUAAAAUCGGGUGUAAGGAAUCAUGUAAGAACUAUAUAUUGGCCUUUUUGUAUCGUGAUAUUUCAAAACCGCGGAAAUUAAAAUCGGGUGUAAGGAAUCAUGUAAGAACUAUAUAUUGGCCUUUUUGUAUCGUGAUAUUUCAAAACCGCGGAAAUUGAAACCGCGUCAGCCGAAUCAUCUGUCUUUGUUACGUAAGUGAAUUGAAACAAAGAAAAAAUGACACCAACGCAAUGACUCGACACUUCUCUAUUGUGUUCCGGUUCGGCGCCGUAACACUUGUAAUAGAAAAAAAAAAGAAA